rnacentral:lncRNA from 1 species
GGUGGGCGGGUGCUCACAAUCACUGCACACCUGCCAGGCCUGCCCCACUUCCGAGCGGAUAGAAAGCCGCGGGACUCUUCAAACGGGUGCAAGGCCAGUGAGUUCAGGCCCAGCCUAGCUGGGGAGCCUCCAAAACCCUCCUUGCAGGUUCUGCAAAGCAGGUGCUUGCUGGGUCUCCUGGGAAGUUAAUUGUUCUGAAGACCACUUCAUGAUGGAGGGAAGCGGUUCCUUCAUCCUUUUUGCCUCCCAAGGUAUCAAACGGGUCAGAGGAGGCCUGAAAGAGGGCACCAACUCAGCAGCUCCAGAUGCUGGAAACAGGCCAGCCCCACGGAUAUGUGCUCCCAGAGAACUGAAGGCUGGGGAUGAAAUACAUGUGCAUGGGCCCAUGUUCACAGCAGCACUGUUCAUGCAACGACCAUUCCUCCAUUGACACCCAAAAGUGAUGAGAUAUCGGGGCAAAGUUAUGAAGAGAAGGAAGGAUUUUGCUGGAGACGGGACAUCACCAUGAGAAAACAAAACAACCACCACAACACACCGGGCCUGACUUACAUG